AUUGAACGCUGGCGGAAUGCUUUACACAUGCAAGUCGAACGGCAGCACGGACUUCGGUCUGGUGGCGAGUGGCGAACGGGUGAGUAAUGUAUCGGAACGUGCCCAGUCGUGGGGGAUAACGUAGUGAAAAUUACGCUAAUACCGCAUACGAUCUAUGGAUGAAAGCGGGGGAUCGCAAGACCUCGCGCGAUUGGAGCGGCCGAUAUCAGAUUAGGUAGUUGGUGGGGUAAAGGCCCACCAAGCCAACGAUCUGUAGCUGGUCUGAGAGGACGACCAGCCAAACUGGAACUGAGACACGGUCCAGACUCCUACGGGAGUCAGCAGUGGGGAAUUUUGGACAAUGGGCGAAAGCCUGAUCCAGCCAUUCCGCGUGCAGGAUGAAGGCCCUCGGGUUGUAAACUGCUUUUGUACAGAACGAAAAGGUUUCUACUAAUACCAGGAGCUCAUGACGGUACUGUAAGAAUAAGCACCGGCUAACUACGUGCCAGCCGCCGCCGUAA
rnacentral:rRNA from 1 species